rnacentral:rRNA from 1 species
CCUACGGGAGGCAGCAGUGGGGGAUAUUGCACAAUGGGGGAAACCCUGAUGCAGCGAUGCCGCGUGAAUGAAGACGGCCUUCGGGUUGUAAAGUUCUGUCGCAGGGGACGAAAAUGACGGUACCCUGCAAGAAAGCUCCGGCUAACUACGUGCCAGCAGCCGCGGUAAUACGUAGGGAGCGAGCGUUGUCCGGAAUUACUGGGUGUAAAGGGAGCGUAGACGGUUAAGUAAGUCUGGAGUGAAAGGCCCGGGCCCAACCCCGGGACUGCUCUGGAAACUAUUGAACUUGAGUGCAGGAGAGGUAAGCGGAAUUCCUAGUGUAGCGGUGAAAUGCGUAGAUAUUAGGAGGAACACCAGUGGCGAAGGCGGCUUACUGGACUGUAACUGACGUUGAGGCUCGAAAGCGUGGGGAGCAAACAGGAUUAGAUACCCGAGUAGUC